rnacentral:rRNA from 1 species
UGAGGAAUAUUGGUCAAUGGCCGGAAGGCUGAACCAGCCAAGCCGCGUGGAGGAAGAAGGCGCAAGAGCGUCGCAGACUCCUUUUGUCGGGGGACAAACGGCCGCACGCGUGCGGCUCUGAGGGUACCCGAAGAAAAAGCAUCGGCUAACUCCGUGCCAGCAGCCGCGGUAAUACGGAGGAUGCGAGCGUUAUCCGGAUUCAUUGGGUUUAAAGGGUGCGUAGGCGGUGUCUUAAGCCGGCGGUGAAAUCGCGGGGCUCAACCCGCCGAGCCGUCGGAACUGGGAUGCUCGAGUGUCGGCGGAGGCAUGCGGAAUGCGCGGUGUAGCGGUGAAAUGCAUAGAUAUCGCGCAGAACCCCGAUUGCGAAGGCAGCGUGCCAGCCGCCCACUGACGCUGAGGCACGAAAGCGCGGGUAUCGAACAGAUUAGAUACC